CAAGGUUCAUCCAGGCGCCGAUGGUGUCAUCCGGACAGCUACAGUUCAGACGGCAAAGAGCAUUUUGGAUCGGGGCGUCAAAAGGCUUGUCCCACUGCCAAUUCAACCCGAUCUCGAGAAACCCGAACAAAUAGCCACCGAGACGAAAUAAGAUGGGAACUUCAACCACACCUCGCUAGUUUGAUCGGUACCCUCUCAACGGGGGGAGAAUGUUACGCCAUGCGGCUUACCAUAGGUCAUAUUCUUAACUAUCGAUCGCGGCACUAUAAUGUCGCAGACGGACCGUCGCGUCUGCCCGGCAAACAAACAUUGUAGUGGCAAGCGCAUGGUUCAUUAAGCAGGGCGACUUCCAGAAACGUCGACUCGUGGUCGUUAUUUUACCUCGCGUAAAAGAAUGUGGCGUGAUCCGAACGUAGUGGGGGUCGCCUUCCAGAAAAAACGAAAAAAAUCGAAAGGCGUUCAGAACUUUUCGAGAAGUCGAACCGUCAACACAUGUGAGUAUUUGUACGUAUGUACUUAUCGUCUGCUGUAUGAUCGAAUAUCGAAUAGGCGCUUGGCCAUGGAUCGCUGCAUUAGGUUUUCGUAAUCCCCGAAACCCAGACAAACCACUAUGGAAGUGCGGAGGUUCCCUGAUAUCGGCUAGGCAUGUUUUGACCGCAGCACAUUGUGCACAUAUGGAUGGAAUAGAAAACAUACACAAUCAUAAUAUUGCCAUUCUUAGAUUGGUGGAGGAGGUGCCAUUUUCGAGGUACGUAUAUCCCAUUUGUACGAAAGAGCCCCUACGAAAGAGCAACUUCGUCGGCUAUAACCCCCUUGUUGCUGGAUGGGGAGCGUUAAGAUAUAAAAAACAGUGCAGGAUGCUGUGAUUCGUUUCUUGUGGUCGGAGGUUAUGUUUGAUGCCUAUAUUUAUCAAAGAUUUAAUGCACAUUAUGGAGAAAGUGUUUUGUCACGAAGUGUGUUUGAAUGGGCACAAAAGUUCAAAGAAGAUCGCACAAGUGUUAUGAAAAAACAGCUGGACGCCCGUCCACAUCCACGAUGACAACAUUGAACGUGCUCAUGAACUUAUGCUCUAUGGAAUAGACGAGUGACACUGGAUAAUGUGGCAAAUCAUUUGCAAAUCAGCCACGGCUCUGCUUAUGCAAUAGUGCACGACAGAUUUGGAUUUUAAAAAGUUUGUGCGAGAUGGAUGCUGAAAAAGCUGAUGAAAAGGUGAAGACGACGAUGCAUUCGUGGUUCGCAGCUCAGCCCAAAACAUUUUUUAAUGAGAAAAUACGAAGGUCCUUCGGCAAAUGGACAAAGUGUAUACAGAAAUCGAGUGAUUAUGUCAAAAAAUGAUGUAUGUCUUUUUUGACAAUUGCUUAAAAUAAAUUCUACACCGACAGAGCGGGUAACUUUUUACUCACCCUCGUAAGACACUUAAAUUUCCAAUCUAUUAUGAUGAAUAAAAGAGCUUAUACUAUUAAAUCUAAUUGUAUUUUGUUGAAUGAGAGUACACGUGUAUGUGAUGUACAUUACCUUUAUAUCCCCUUGAACGCUUCAAUAUUGCGCAUAUAUACUAUAUUUUGUACAGCUUCUAUAAAAUUUUGUAUGUUUGUUUAGGCUGUUAAUCUAGAGGCUGGAGUACAAAGAAGUGGCACAAUGAUGUGGGCUGAUGACAUUUAUAAUUAUCAAGGAAUCACCCCUACAUUCGCUCAGAAUUUUAAUGAAACUGUCCCUUGGGAAGGAAGAACUGAUACCUUGAUAUCACGGUUUGUACAUCCUAUAUAUACGACAAAUUUUAGAACAUUAUAUAACGAAGAACCAGAUCGUCGUGGCCAUGUGAUGUGAAUAAAAGGACUUGAAUUUGAUGAUAUUUUUAUAAUGUUAGAUAACAUAACUAAGUAUCUUCACAGUAAGAUAGGAUGACAUGGUUUACAUGAUCUUAAUGUUGUUCACUCGAGUGAUGAUAUUAUAAGGAAAAGCGUAAUAUCACAGGAUAUUUAUGUUUAGUAACCAGUAAUUCAGAGAUUGGUAUUCAUGGUUACUAUAACGAGGCUGUAGAAACGCACCCUUUCUUCUUUGCAAAUGGUCCUGUAUUUAUGUCUAAGCCGAAACUGGAACCUCUGAAUAAUUUAGAUUUAUUCUUGUUAUUUUCUAAAAUACUUAUCUACAGUAUACCAUAAGGAAUGAUACCGUAUCGCACCUAAUCAAGUGCCUUAAGAAACAUCAACAGGAUAUCACAGUAAUCCCUUAUCGACAGAUAUUUGUAGCCACUACAAUAUCUAUGACACUGGUAGUAAUUAUAAGAACAAUAAUGAUGUUCUAUAAGAGGAAAUGAUGAUUAGGAACAAAAACUUACAGAAGAUAUCAUGCGGUGGAUGGAUAAUAUGCAAAAAAUAUUAAGCAGUAUAUGAAUUUUCGUAUUGCGUAGAGAUAACAAAAUGAAUUUUAAAAAAUGUCGACACGGUAAUAAGAAAUAGCAUCAUGACAAAGAAUAUAUAAAGACAGUUUCAUUUUUUAUAAAUAAAAAUUUGUUGUUCCAGAUUUUGAAAUACAGUGAAACGUUUAAUUAGUAUCUUAAUAUCUUUAAAUAAUUAUUAUUUUAGAAUCAAUUGUAAUUGUAUCAUACGUACUUUUGAAUUCGUGCAAGAACAUAUGUAAUUUUGAAGUAGUUAUUAUUAGGAAACUGUUAGACGCGAACAGUAUGCGGAAAGUUAGUAUGCAGUGUAAUAAUUAUCAAUCAAAACACAAGAAUUAAAUUCUUGAGGAAAAAAUUUCCGGAAUUUCUUAUUUACAUGAUUAUAAAGAAAUCCAUAAUAAAAAGGAGCUGCUUUCUAAUACUUCUCUUCCUUGUAAUGCCUAUGUUAAUAAUAACGAGGUUCGACUUUUUGUUUUUAGAGGGAUACUGGAAAAUUUGAAAGUACAGUACCAUUGGGAAGAAAAUCACGAUAUUGAAAACGAUAUUUGCAAGUAAAUUUCCAAAAAAUCUGUUUUCAAAUUUUCGCUUUCUAUUUCACAUUAAAAGAAAGGGAGGGCUGCCUUCUUUUUCUGCAAGACAAAACAAACAUUCUGAAUCUCGUAUCAAUGAAUGAUGUCAAUAAGUUAUUUUUCUUUUCAGAUUGAACAAUAUUCCAGAUUUAUUCAUAAUUUCAUACUACGCGAAGAAUAGACUUUCAUAGGUAUAUAAAGGAAAUAUUAAGUAUAGGAAAACUCUUUUUCGUUGUAGGUGACAUAUGCUUCACGGUUGAACACAUGUAUUUUUGAACACAUAUAAAUGAAAAAGUACUCUUAUGGAGAAAAAGAAUUGAUACCUUCGAUUGACAUUAGAUAAUGUAUAUAAACUUAUGAACAAUCACUAUCAGUUUGUAUUUUAGGUGCACACGCAGAUUUGUUGGAGUUCUUAUAAAAUGUACUUCCUGUACGAACGUUUUAUUCUUCCAAAUUUUACGAUACUAUGUCUCAUAUAAUAACUAUAUGGAUUAAACGUAAUAUAAAUGAUCCGAAAAUAGACUCGAACGACAUUAAUUGUCUUUCUAUUUAUACCAAUAUCGAAAAUACAAGUAAAGCUGGAGCAAUAGUAUGCAAGAAUGGACUAUUUAUUAUUUUAAACCAAAUCAUAGCAUAUUCAGAAUGCACAGUAUUAUCAUGAAAUGUAAAUGAAUCAGUUGUAAACGAACGAUUUUACUGUAAAAUCGUUGCCUCCUUUUUUUCAUCUGAAAUAUAGCAGCAAUGAGUA